rnacentral:rRNA from 1 species
GAUGAACGCUGGCGGCGUGCCUAAUACAUGCAAGUCGAGCGAACAGACGAGGAGCUUUCUCCUCUGACGUUAGCGGCGGACGGGUGAGUAACACGUGGAUAACCUACCUAUAAGACUGGGAUAACUUCGGGAAACCGGAGCUAAUAACGGAUAAUAUAUUGAACCGCAUGGUUCAAUAGUUCAAGACGGUUUUGCUGUCUCUUAUAGAUGGAUCCGCGCCGCAUUAGCUAGUUGGUAAGGUAACGGCUUACCAAGGCAACGAUGCGUAGCCGACCUGAGAGGGUGAUCGGCCACACUGGAACUGAGACACGGUCCAGACUCCUACGGGAGGCAGCAGUAGGGAAUCUUCCGCAAUGGGCGAAAGCCUGACGGAGCAACGCCGCGUGAGUGAUGAAGGUCUUCGGAUCGUAAAACUCUGUUAUUAGGGAAGAACAAAUGUGUAAGUAACUAUGCACGUCUUGACGGUACCUAAUCAGAAAGCCACGGCUAACUACGUG